UUAGCUUGCUAAGGCCGAUGGCGACCGGCGCACGGGUGAGUAACGCGUAUCCAACCUGCCUUACACUCUUGGACAGCCUUCUGAAAGGAAGAUUAAUACAAGAUGGCAUCAUGAGUCCGCAUGUUCACAUGAUUAAAGGUAUUCCGGUAGACGAUGGGGAUGCGUUCCAUUAGAUAGUAGGCGGGGUAACGGCCCACCUAGUCUUCGAUGGAUAGGGGUUCUGAGAGGAUGAACGGCCACAUUGGGACUGAGAUACGGCCCAGACUCC
rnacentral:rRNA from 1 species